UACGGGGGGGGCAAGCGUUGUUCGGAAUUACUGGGCGUAAAGGGCUCGUAGGUGGCCAACUAAGUCAGACGUGAAAUCCCUCGGCUUAACCGGGGAACUGCGUCUGAUACUGGAUGGCUUGAGUUUGGGAGAGGGACGCGGAAUUCCAGGUGUAGCGGUGAAAUGCGUAGAUAUCUGGAGGAACACCGGUGGCGAAGGCGGCGUCCUGGACCAACAUUGACGCUGAACGGCGAAAGCUAGGGGAGCAAACGGG
rnacentral:rRNA from 1 species